rnacentral:rRNA from 1 species
AUUGAACGCUGGCGGCAGGCCUAACACAUGCAAGUCGAGCGGAUGAAGGGAGCUUGCUCCUGGAUUCAGCGGCGGACGGGUGAGUAAUGCCUAUGAAUCUGCCUGGCAGUGGGGGAUAACGUCCGGAAACGGGCGCUAAUACCGCAUACGUCCUGAGGGAGAAAGUGGGGGACCUUCGGACCUCACGCUAUCAGAUGAGCCUAGGUCGGAUUAGCUAGUUGGUGGGGUAAAGGCCUACCGGGGCGACGAUCCGUAACUGGUCUGAGAGGAUGAUCAGUCACACUGGAACUGAAACACGGUCCAGGCUCCUACGGGAGGCAGCAGUGGGGAAUGUUGGACAAUGGGCGAAAGCCUGAUCCAGCCAUGCCGCGUGUGUGAAGAAGGUCUUCGGAUUGUAAAGCACUUUAAGUUGGGAGGAAGGGCAGUAAGUUAAUACCUUGCUGUUUUGACGGUACCAACAGAAUAAGCACCGGCUAACUUCGUG